UACGUAGGGUCCGAGCGUUGUCCGGAUUUAUUGGGCGUAAAGAGCUCGCAGGCGGUUCCGUAAGUCAGAUGUGAAAACUCAGGCUCAACCCGGAGACGCCAUCUGAUACUGCGGUGACUGGAGUCUGGUAGGGGAACACGGAAUUCCUGGUGUAGCGGUGAAAUGCGCAGAUAUCAGGAAGAACACCCGUGGCGAAAGCGGCUCUCUGGAACGGUACUGACACUGAGGAGCGAAAGCGUGGGGAGCGAACAGG
rnacentral:rRNA from 1 species